GCAACACAUGUGGAUGCAAUCCUUCCAUUGUUAUUCUAAGAGAAGCACACCUGCGUUUGAGACUUAAGGAAACUAGGGCUCAAUGACAUUGGGUUGACUGCGUUAUGUAUCUAGCCUGGAACUCAUUAUGUAGACCAUGCUGGCCCCAAACUCACUCAUGGAGAACCUCCUGUCUGCUUUCCCAGUGCUGGGUUAAAGACCAACGUGACCAGCCACUUCUGGAUCCUGUGAGUGUGAUUUCCUUGCCACGAUGGACUGUGGCCCCUCAAACCAAACCUUCAGUGGUUCCUCAUUGUCACCAAACAAUACCCUCAGUUUGUCCAAAGAAGCUUUGAAUAACUGACUCCAGCCACCAUGGCCAGGUUUCCAGCAGAGACCACCGAUUGCAGCUUGCUUCUGCCUGUUCCACUCUAGCAAAUCAACUCAGAGAACAACACUCUCUCACUCAAAUAGCAGCCCUAAUAUUGAAAUACCUGGAGCAUCCUUCCCACCCACCACCAUUGCCCCUGACAACACCCUCCAUCUGUCCCUCAAGAUUUAGCCGACCUCUGCAUGUGUGAAGCCUUCUUGAGCUUACCAGACAUGAGGCUUGUAACCACCACUGCCCCCUGAAUCAAGUAUUAUUAUGCUUAAAAUAUGCAAUG